rnacentral:piRNA from 1 species
UGAGAUCGCUCAACAUGAAGA